CGUGACAUAGCAACAGCUUCAGUAGCAACGAGCUGCAACUAUUGUGAAGCGUACAUUUAACGACCGUUAAGAUUUAUCGAAAAUAAUGGAUUACAGACAAGUGUUUAAUAGUUAUGGAAAUGUGUCCAAAGCUUCUUACUUGUACAGGCCAAGGCAGCCUGUUCGUAGACCUGUCUCAAACUGGACUGCUCCGUCUAGCUACAGAACUAACCCCUAUAAGUGGGUCAACCCCCGUCUGAGGUCCGGCUCUAACCAGUACAAGGCUGAUCUUCAGCUUGUCAGGUCUGAGCCAAGACCAGGACCUAGUUAUUCCACAACUUACAGUGGUAGGACUGCAGAUAGAGCCAGUCCAAUAAAGAGAUACAGGUCAGCAGACCCGGCACUCCUUCAGCUUGCAGACAGAUCUGAGAGGUCGAGUGAGUCUCAUAUAUACAGAGAGAGAUCCCAAGCCAUAAGAUCCAAGGAACGGUCUCCUCCUCCCAAGAGAUUCAGGGGAGAUUUCAUUGUGCUGGAUGAGUACAGCAGUGCAAGUGAUACCUCCCUGGCAACCAGCUCUGUCAGUGGAUCUUCUCUAGCCAGCAGCUGUGGCUCUGGGAGUAACACAUCACUGAGUGAGAUUUCCUCAAGCAGUAGCACUGUCCUGUACAGUGAAUCAUCCCUAGAUGAUGAAAGUGACUGCAGUGUGGCUAAACCAGCUGUGGAGGCAGGGGGCCAUGAGCCCAAAGAGACACCAGAGCUGUGGGGAACUUAUCUGAGUGAUGAUAUGGAAAGACAACUUGAGUCCUGGGCUUCAGAGAAACCUGAGGACUUUGUUCCUGUGACCCCAAAACUCAGGGGAAACAGUGACAAAGGUCUUGAACAGGUCACUCUGAGCUUCAUCAAGAAGCCCCAGCAUGUUUCCAUGGUUACAGCUGACAGACUGUCCACUCCAGUGGCCACUCCCAAACCAAGUUUCAGUGGUCAUGUGAAACUUGCACAGUUGGAGAACCAUGUCCCAGCUGAACUGCCAGAGCUGUGGGGAUGCUAUGUGAGUGCUGCAAUGCAGAGGCAGAUGGACCAGUGGGGGAGAGAGGCUAGUAGCCUGAACACCAAGGCUCCAACCAGCACCGGUCAGAGACCUUUGACAAAACCUGGGUCUGCAUCUAAUCCAUUGAUGCAGUCCAGUGUGGUUGCUAAGCAGCAAGUCACUUGGUGUGCUCCCAAGCCCUGCCUCCAGUCUAGUGUGGUUGCUAUGUCAGUUGUCAUGCCUACUCAGCCUGCACUGCAGUCAGCCGUGGGUGCCUCCACCACCCCUUUCCAAAGGAUUAUACCUGGCCCUUCACCGGCUACCAGAUGGGGCCCCAGCUCUUACCCACAAUGCUUUGUGAGGUGUUCAGUUGCUAGGAAACGGCCACUGGAGGAAAAUGAGAAUGAGGCUGCUCCCUCAGCCAAGAUUCACAUUAACAAGAACCACCCAAGGUUCAGACACUUGUUCCAGUAAACAAGUGUGGGUGGAGGAUAAGUAUGGUUUUUAUUAUUUACAAAAAAAAAGAAUAAUGAAGCAUAUGCUUCACCAAAAAAAGUACAAAAAUAUAUAUGAAGCAACGCUUCGACAAAAAAAGUACGAAAAAAACAACACAAAAAUACCAAAAAAAGAUUUAGGGUAGGUUUUGUAGUGUAGUUAUCCAGUUAAAACUGUUUUGUAGAGUAGUUUACUGUUUGUUUCAUUUUUCUUCUUUGUUCAACCAUGCAGAACAUGUUCAUGGUUAGCAUUUGGGAUACCGUGAUUUCUGUAUGCUGUUACAUCAAUGUAUCCAUAUUUUGUUUCCCAUCUUUUUCUCUUUAACUGCAAAUUUGAUAUAACUUCAGAGGGAUGGUGCUUGGUGGGAAAUGUUCAAUGAGUUCCAAUCAAUGUUAUAUUAUGAUAACCAGAGCAACAAUAGAUUUUUGAAGAAACAAAUCUGCCCUACAUCUACAAGAUCAAGGUCAGUGAUACUAAAAAUAAAAACAAUGGAUGACGGUGUGUGAAGAUUAUUCAUAUGCAGACCUAGCAUGGAAGUUAAUUAAGGGCCAGUGACAUAAAGGAGAAGGUCAUUGUAACCCAAAUAUAGUACUGUUUCUGCUCAAUAACUUGGGAUUCCACCUGGGACCACUAAGGUAUAAUGCUAGGUCACUGUUUGUUUUAAAAUAGAUUAACUGUUUUCGCUCACUAGCUUGAUUUGUAUGAUAUUGUUCUUAUAUUUUGUAUGUUGUAUGCUGGUAUCUUACAUGCAGACCAGGCUUAGGAUUUUAUAAAGGCACUUGCAGUCACAUUUUUAUGUCCCGAAGGAUGGCAUAUAGUUUUUGAACUGUCUGUCCGUCCGUCCGUCAGUCAGUCUGUCUGUCCGUCUGGAAAAUUUAACAUUGCCCAUAACUUUGCAAUAUUGAAGAUAGCAACUUGAUAUUUGGCAUGCAUGUGUAUCUCAUGGAGCUGCACAUUUUGAGUUGUGAAAGGUCAAGGUCAAGGUCAUCCUUCAUGGUCAAAGGUCAUAUAUAUGGCUUCAAAGUGGCGCAGAAGGGGAAUUGUGUUUCUGACAAACACAUCUCUAGUUUAUUCAUGUAAAGACUUUUGUACUAAAAAAACUUAUAAUAUUUUCUGAAACCACAAGGCCAAUAGCAUUGUUAUUUGGCAUUCAGGAAGUGGUCCUCAACAAAGUAAGGUCAAAUCAUGCUGGUUUCAAAACUUGUCAUUCCCCAGGGUCCCAUUUUUAUUUUAGAUACACAAAAUCUUGAUAAGUGUAAUGUUUGGCAUGUACCAUCUUAAAGGGGUCCUCUUAAAGCUAUGAUCAAAUUGUGUUAUUCAGUGCAAAUCUGGUCACACCCUCUGUGUCAAAUACUUAAAAUACACUUUAUUAGCUUGGCCCUGUUGCUGAUUGUAAGUUUGCAUUAUUUAUUGUUCAUUUGGUUCAAAUUAUUCAUUUGGUUUGGUUUUCGGACAUUUUGGUAUCAUCACUUACUUCAGAAAAGGUAAUAAUUAGAAUAAGUGAAUGUAACUUUAAAGUGGUUUUAAAGGUUUUAGAUAAGUUGUUACUCAAUGAAAACUUAUAAUGUAAAAUAGCAGUAUCCUGUUUGGGAAUUACAAGUAAAAAGGCAAAAAAUGCACAUGUUUUUAUUUUAUGUAUGCUUAUGAAAUGUGUUUUUGUUUUAAUUGUUAAUCACAAAGAACAGUCUGAUGAUCACAGUUGCUAUCUCUAUUAUAUUGUUAAAAUAAAGAAUGUCAGUCAAAUUGACUAAGAGAGAUGGCCACUAUUUUGAUAUUUGGCAAUGAGGCUUUACAAGUCUAUAAAAUGUUUUUCUUAUUAUAAAAAAAUGACAUUAAAAUGAAAGGAAUCAUUUUCUUCCAAAGUUGAGAUCUAUUAAUUGUUUUCAUGUGUGCUGAGUAACUUCCAUCCAGGCCAUCCAGUAAAGCCUCCUAAUGCUGCCAAGCUGGACAAGUACGCCCGCUCCUGUAGCAGCGAGUACUAAGUCAAGCUUGAAGGUCCCAAGCCCUUAGAAAAGCAGAGGGGGGAGAGAGGAUGCAAUUAAGAUGACAUCCACAAUGGAACUAUGUUAAUCAUCACAACAGGACUCCAUCAACAUGCAGUCACCACAACAUGACUCCAUCACCAUGCAGUCAUCACAACAGGACUCCAUCACCUCUCAGUCAUCACAACAUGACUUCAUCACUAUGCAGUCACCACAACAGGACUCCAUCACCAUGCAGUCAUCACAACAGGACUCCAUCACUAUGCAGUCAUCACAACAGGACUCCAUCACCAUGCAGUCAUCACAAUAGGACUGCAUCGCCAUUCAGUCACCACAACAGGACUCCAUCACCAUGUAGUCAUCACAACAGGACUCCAUCACUAUGCAGUCAUCACAACAUGACUCCAUCACUAUGCAGUCAUCACAACAGGACUCCAUCACUAUGCAGUGAUCACAAUAGGACUCCAUCACUAUGCAGUCACCACAACAGGACUCAAUCACUAUGCAGUCACACCAGGAAUUGUUGCAAUGCAGUUAUGACUACAGGUCUCCAACAUAAUGCAGUCAUCACUAUAAGAGCCAUUUUUGCCCUGUUUUCAUGUGUCCUGAGUAUCUUCCAUCCAGGCCAUCAAGUAAAGCCUCCUAAUGCUGCCAAGGUCUCAAGCCCUUGGAAAAGCAGAGGGGGAGAGCAGAGCUGCAAGACAGCCUUGGCAUAAGGUCCUUAGAUGUGACAAGGCUUGCCAGCUGCAAAACCUGCAUAAAAGACUUGUUGAGGCCGAUAUACCUGCCCUCCACUGUCCCAGGCCCGUCAGCUCCUACACCUCCCUGCAGAGCACGCGUCUGACUGAUGUAAAGAGAAGUUGUGGAGGGUGGAGUUCUGCUGGCCUAAGCAUUUAAAAUCUGGAUGUAAAUAGACAGAUUGUACGACUUUAGUCUUAGAAUAAUUCUUUACAUUGUGGUGUUCCAAAAAAUAUUAAAAUCUUGGCCAAUAUUUACCAAUUACUGUUCAGAUAUAUGACUUAGUUUAACAUUUAAUACAUCUAUUAAAAUUAUAAUUCUCUAGAAGUGUUUGCAUGUAUUGUAACUUACAAGUUGUUAAAGACCCCUAAUUAUCAUUUUUAUGCCCCCCCUUCGAAGAUGGAUGAUAACUAAAGACCGUUUAUGCCUAGGAUCAUGAAACUUCAUAGGUACAUUGAUCAUGACGUGCCAGGGUUGCCACUUAACUUGAAAAGUCAGGGAAAAUUGAUUUUUUUUUCAAGGUCAGUGAAAAAUCAGGGAAUUUAAAAAAAAUGGUCAGUGAAAAAUGAAAUUUUAGAAAAGUCAGGGAAAAAUAAAAUUUUGGGUCGAUGCAUAAGUUAUUUAGUGGCUAUGGCUGUCUUCACGUAUCAUUUGUUUUAGUAGUUUCAACAGUAUAUUUUUUAUUUGAUUUUUUUUUACUAUUUCUAUGUACAUAAAACAUUAACAUGUGUAAAGCGUGUUCAAAAAUGUAAAUUUUUAUUUUUUAUCUUUGAUUAAUUUUUUUGUAUCCUUGAAGGCUGAAAGGCUUUGAAACCCUUGCCCCCAGAGCUGAUUUAUUUUUUAUUUUAUGCUUAGCAGGAUCAUUAGAGAUGACAGCAUGAAAGAGCUAUACUAACUUCGCAUAUUUAUUUCAGUUUAUGAUUUUCAUGUAUUAACCUACCAUAUAUCACAGAUCACAAAUUGAUUUUCUCUUCUAAUUUCAGAUUUAAUAUAAUGUACACAUAGCUAGACAUAUUACCAGCAUGAGUAAACAUACAUUAUUUAAUGAUUGUUGGCUCAAAGACCCUGAGUUUUCAUCAUGGGUUGGCAAAAACUCUAGAAAUGAAAACAAAGCACGCUGUCUUAUAUGUGGUGGUGGUUCCUUUACGCUAGGGAACAUGGGAAAACAAGCUCUAAGGAGUCAUGUGUCUAGAUGUUUAAGUAUGAUCAAAGUAUGUAAUGGAUAUAUCAUAUUGUAUAUGGACAGUUUUUUGUGUAAUAUGUGUUGUGCUAUUACUGAAUUGUCAUAACUAACAUCACAUGUAUCUACCUAUAGAAAUAUGUUUUGUUCAUAGGUUUUGAGACAUAAUCAUAUUAUAUGGUGGUUGUACAUGCAUAACUUUUUAUCGUUGGUUUUGUGGAAUUACUAUAUGGCCUUCCAUCAUGCAAAGUUUAGUGUACAAGUAGUACUGCUUUGUUAUUUGUUAGAUAUUUUAUGUUAAAGAACAAAAUAAACAUUAAAUGGAUGGAUUUGGUCGGCUGUAUAAGGAGGAGGAGGCCAAAUAUGUCGCGAAAUUAGUCAGUGAAAACCAAGAUUUGGUCAGGGAAAAGUCAGUGAAAAGUCAGAAAAUUUUGUUUCAUCAGGUUGGUGGCAACCCUGCUGGCAGAUGACCCCUAUUGAUUUUCAGGUCACUAGAUCAAAGGUCACAGUGACUUGAAACAGUAAAAUGGUUUCCGGAUGAUAACUCAAAAAUGCUUAGGCCUAGGAUCAUGAAACUUCAUAGGUACAGUGAUCAUGACUGGCAGAUGACCCCUAUUGAUUUUCAGGUCACUAGGUCAAAGGUCAAGGUCACAGUGAUUCAUUAAUUGUGUUUGUCCAAAACUUUAACCUUGGUUAAAGUUUUGCAAUAUCUAAAAUGGUUUCCGGAUGAUAACUCAAGAAUGCUUACGCCUAGGAUCAUGAAACUUCAUAGGUACAUUGAUCAUGACUGGCAAAUGACCCCUAUUGAUUUUCAGGUCACUAUGUCAAAGGUCAGGGUCACAGUGACUCAAAACAGUAAAAUGGUUUUCUGAUGAUAACUCAAAAAUAAUAAGGCCUAGGAUCAUGAAACUUCAUAGGUACAUUGAUCAUGACUGGCAGAUGACCCCUAUUAAUUUUCAGGUCACUAGGUCAAAGGUCAAGGUCACAGUGACAAAAAACUUAUUCACACAAUGGCUGCCACUACAACUGACAGCCCAUAUGGGGGCAUGCAUGUUUUACAAACAGCCCUUGUUCAUUUAGAUUUUUACCAGUCUGUAUUUAGGCAAAACCUUAAGUGCCUGAAAGUAGGUCAAAGUCUAUUCUUAAGUCCAUCAUGGGAUUGUGGAUAUAGGCCCAAAGCUGCCUUUUUAGAUUUGGAGACAGUUGUUAUUGAGUUACUCUUUGGGAUGUAUUACAUUUUUAUAAAAAGGCCCUUGCAAAAAAAUAAUCUCAAUACAUUUGUGAAUACAUGUAUUUGAGAAUUUUCAUUUGUGAUUUACAACAUUUUAAAGAUUAAGCUUUAGCAAAUUCCUCUAAAUUUUGUCCUCAAUCGGUAAUCAUCGUUGAGAUUAAAAAUAUUGAAUGCCAUUUUCAAUUGGAAUGAUGGAAUUAAAAAUGAGAACAUUUAAACAUUUUGAGGCAUUUUUUGUCUUUUUUCCUGUUACUUAUUUAAUAUGGUGUAUAUCUUUAGACCAACUUAAGUUAGAAUUAUAAUUUUAAAGGAAUUGUUUCUUUUUAAAAUGUCUGUUCUUUUCUACCAUUUUAAUAAUUAAAAUUAAUACAAAAACAGCAUGAAAAAUAAAACUAGUCAAUCCAAGCAUCAACAGAAAGUUUCUUACAAAUCUUAGAAAAAAUUGACAUGAACUAUAAAUAAAAUAUAUCUUUUAUGCAUAUUGUUUUAGAUUUUGUUCACAUAUAAUUGUAAAUGGAUUUUUUUAAAACUGUGUUAAAACUUUGUUAGAAAUUAUUUACCCGGUACCUAGAAAAGACCUAUAAAAUACAUGUAUUCUAUAGGUCUUUGCCCGGUAGUACAUGAAAAUCUAUAAUAAAAAAAAUAGCUUUAUUAAUUUUCUUAACCCUGCAUGUAAUUUACUAUGUACAUCUCAAUGUAUUUUUUUGUGGUGCACAAUUAUGACAUACAUGCCAGACGGCCCGAUCUCGGCGGGACAGUCCCGCUUUUGGGCCCUUUGUCCCGGCGUCCCGAUAUGAGACGAUUUGUCCCGACAUUCGUAAAAAACGAUGUAAGGUCUAUAGGUUCCCAAUAAAAUUCGCUAUUCAAGCUCUGUUUCGCUAACACUUAUCACCGCUAAUCCCUUUAUUGCCCCCAAUUAACAAUCCGAUUCUUCUUCUCGUGUGUACCAGUGUUGUUUAUGACACCUUAUCAGCGAUUUAUCAGCUAAUUAUUGAUUUUAUCAGGCAUUCACACCAUGGUGGUCUUCAAGAUAGUGGUCGCUUAUUGCUAUCGAUAGUUGUAUUAUAAUGAAAUAAAUGUUGAAAAUGUGUUUGUUUUUGUCUUUGUUUGAAACGGUUUACAAAACAAUUGUUUUGUAUAAUUAACUCUACGUCAUUAAUGAGUCUUUUACAUUCAAUGUUUAGUUCCAAAACAGCGGGAUCAUCCGAAUGUGCAAUAUACCAAAAUCGCAACAAACAGUCUAUAUAAUUGGGUGUUAUUGUAAUAAAAACAACGAGGUGCUAUGCAUGACAGUUUACUGUAACCCGUACUUUCAGUGUACUGGAUAGCCUCCCCUGCGUUAAUGUUUGCCAUUGAAAGUAAUAUAAUGAGUAUUGUUGUCGUAAUUUUCCAGAUUUUGUACUCUAAAAAGAUGAAUAUUAUCUUCGUUGUUUGCUAAUGUCUUAUUUAAUAAAACUGUUAUUGUUAUGUUUUAGAUUUCAUGCUUCAUAUCAUAUGUUUUAUGUCUUGAAUAAAAGUAUCAAAAGUU